UACGUAGGGGGCAAGCGUUGUCCGGAUUUAUUGGGCGUAAAGAGCGUGUAGGCGGCUAUACAGGUCCGCUGUGAAAACUCGAGGCUCAACCUCGAGACGUCGGUGGAAACCGUAUGGCUAGAGUCCGGAAGAGGAGAAUGGAAUUCCUGGUGUAGCGGUGAAAUGCGCAGAUAUCAGGAAGAACACCCGUGGCGAAGGCGGUUCUCUGGGACGGUACUGACGCUGAGACGCGAAAGCGUGGGGAGCGAACAGG
rnacentral:rRNA from 1 species